rnacentral:rRNA from 1 species
UAAUUGGAGAGUUUGAUCCUGGCUCAGGACGAACGCUGGCGGCGUGCCUAACACAUGCAAGUCGAGCGGGGUUAAAGUUUUACACUGAGUAUUUAAAGAGUUGUUCAGCCAGCGCAUAUGCAAAAACAACCUGAUUAAUAAAUGCUUGCAAUAAAAGUUUUUGCAUUACGCGUUUAAAGCGUGAAUAACACUGACACAAACAAGCAGUCGGAUUUGAGUACUGAGUGUAAAACUUUAACCUAGCGGCGGACGGGUGAGUAACGCGUGAGCAAUCUGCCUCAUACAGGGGGAUAACAGUUGGAAACAGCUGCUAAUACCGCAUAAGACCACGAUAUCGCAUGGUAAAGAGGUCAAAGGAGGAAUCCGGUAUGAGAUGAGCUCGCGUCCCAUUAGCUGGUUGGUGGGGUAACGGCCUACCAAGGCGACGAUGGGUAGCC